rnacentral:rRNA from 1 species
AUUGAACGCUGGCGGCAGGCCUAACACAUGCAAGUCGAGCGAGCGGCGCACGGGUGAGUAAUGUGUGGGGGACUGCGCGUUAGGGGGGGGUAACUACUGGAAACGGUGUCUAUUACCCCAUACUCCCGGAUGUACCCCUAUGGGAUUAGCUAGUGGGUGAGGUAAUGGCUUACCUAGGCGACGAUCCCUAGCUGGUCUGAGAGGAUGAUCAGCCACACUGGGACUGAGACACGGCCCAGACUCCUACGGGAGGCAGCAGUGGGGAAUAUUGCACAAUGGGCGCAAGCCUGAUGCAGCCAUGCCGCGUGUAUGAAGAAGGCCUUAGGGUUGUAAAGUACUUUCAGCGGGGAGGCGUUACCGGCAGAAGAAGCACCGGCUAACUCCGUGCCAGCAGCCGCGGUAAUAC